rnacentral:lncRNA from 1 species
GCAAACACAACUCACUUAACAACACGAGUACUUAGCAUAAAUCUGACCAAUUCACAGUGGCCGGCUUAGAGGGUACAGUACUACUUUGGUAACAGAGUUGCAUGAUAAAAGAAACAUUAUGAUAAGUUCGAGCAGACUUGCAAGCCUCAAGCUCAAACAGCAGCAGGUAACAUGAUCAGAAGAAAGGAGACAUCCUACUAGCAGAUGGACCCGCUAUCUCUUCACCCAGAAGAAGACACACCACUUGGCUUGGCGCCCAAGUUCGCCACAGCACCAGGCCCCGACACAACCUGCACCACAACAAGUAUGUUCAUUAACAUUAUCCGAGACCGUACCUUCAUGCUUCAGGGUACAACAGAAGAAAUUAAGCCAGAUAUAUACCCUCAUAUUACUGCUAUUAUUAAACAAAAGAACCCACUAAGGAAGAAAGAAUUUAACUACUUUUAUUGCUAUUAAGUAUUAACCACUCUACACCACAUCAAGGACACCGGUACUAAACCUGUGUUAUCUUACUGGACUUGCCCCGACAAAUGUCCCAGUUAACUGGUUCAGUUUCAGUACUUCACGACGCAAUUGCUCAGCAGCUGUUGGAUCCACCCUUGAAAUCGUUCUCCCAUCUAGUAAAUCCCAACAUGUUUCAACCAUGUGCUGAUUUGCGCCUGUGCGAGAAUUAAUAUUAAUUAAGUAUUAUGACAGCAUAACAGUGAAUAUUUCAGCCCUGACAAGAUCCAUGUUUUUUAGUCAAUACCAAUAGUGUAAGAACCAAAACUUGCAAGCAUUUAUUAUUCUUAUCGUCCCAUCGAGUAGAUACAACUGCACAACCUGGUGUCUACAUACGAGGAUGCGCAAGACUUCUUGGAUCCAAGAAGCAGGGAGACCAUAAAACAAGGAAAUGCAAGAUUCGGAAAAGGAUAUCUACCGCUUUAUUUAUAGGAUGCAUUUCGAUAGUAGUAAAAAGACAGCAGAAAGGGAUGGUCAAUUAUAUAAAUGAAUCAAGGAAACUGUAAGCUGGCAGGUCAUGUAAUACUAUCAGCCAGGUAAUGCAUAUGGACAACUGACAGUACAUUUGAUGUUCUCUAACAAGUAGUAAUACCAGGGGUCAUCUGUCAACUAACAAUAUCAGAGAUCGACCAAGCUGAGGUUCAACUAAUUUACCUGCAUUUGACAAUGUCCCAGAGGUUUUAGCUUCUGUGGAAGUACCAAAUAUGGGUUGGCAGAACUGAGCACCUGCGACGAUCUUGGCAGUUAGAAACAGCGGCUGCAGUUAUGAACUAACAUGACAAGUUUGGCAGUUCGAGAAACGGCAGUUACAGUUAGAAGAUAUCAUGCAAAGAUAAAGCCAGAUGAUGUGAAGCAACCAACACAAAUGACAAGAACAGACCAAGUCACCAAGGGCAUAAGAACAGGACAUUUCCACAAUAUAUCUUCUAAAGAUAAGUUGCACAAAAGGAGUCCACAAUGUGCAUAGGAACCAAAAGCAUAGAAACGUAUUACCCACAGAUAGCCUACAAGGCAUCCGUGGCAUGUACAUACAUUUGGUAUAUUUCUAGCAAGAGUACUAUUUGAUCAUGAUCAUGAAUCUUGGAAAUGUAUAAUUUUUGACAUAGAAUUAUGUAUAAAAUUUAAACAGCACUAUAUGUCAGACGAAAAUUUAAAAGGACACCCACAUAGUCUGAUGGCUCACCUUAUUCAAUGUUAUGUUAUUAAAAAAUAAAAUAUAAACUACAACUUUGGCCUUCAAUUUUUUGCUAUGAUUUGUAGCAUAGAUUUAGCAGUAUGAAAUUUAAACUGCACAGUUUGUCAGCAGAAAAUUCAACAGUACACCUUAAUGAAUUCUAUCCAAGUUAUAAGAAAGUAAAUAUUGUGCGGAUGUGGCCCAGAAAAAUUAAGAUGUUACGCAGCCAGUAAAGAGCCUAAUGGCCUGCUUGGAGGAAUAUUCCUGGGUAAAGUUUUGGUACUUAACUUAAAUUUGACUUCAGUACCAAAAUUUACCAAAUAUAUGUCAUUUUUCAGAAUUGAAUUAAUUCAAUAAUUAAUGUAAUUGCAAUUCAAUCGAGCUAAUUAUAAUUAUCUUGUAGUCUUGUGGCUAACCUUAAUCAUUGUCUAUGUAAGUUGUCAGAAAGUAUUCCGCAAUAAGAAAGUAAAAUAUUGUGUGGAUAUGGCCCAAAAAGACUCAAUAAGUAUGCAGCCAGUAAAGAGCCUAAUGGCUGUAAAGAACUCAUUACCAAAACUUUACCAAGGACCCCCUGAAUAGUAAGUUAAGACACUGGCAAAAUGACUAAGCUAAAGAUUGGGUGAACCAAACAUGUGAGGUUUUACCUUCAUUCCUACCCGGCUGAAGUGGACAGCUGGAACCAUAGGUGGUCAAUUGUACGCCAGGUCGUACACUUUCAUC